AGAGAAGUUGCCCAUCACACAGAGAAAAGGGUUAUUUUCACAGUUCUUAGCCACCGUUGAAGCUACAGGCUGUAGUUUUGGGGAACUUGAGGACCUUGGGGUUGGCUGACAUGAAGAGGGCCAGUAAGGCUUUUCUCAGCAGCUGCAUACAGCCCCAGGGACUACCGGGGAGGACCGAGGGCGGCUAGAACCUGACCCAAACUGGAAAGCGGCUUGCUCAGUCUCCACUCAUUUCCUACAAAGCAGGAGAACAGAAUCAUUUUCUCCGAGUGAGGGCAAAGCCCGGCGCACACAACUUGGAAAACUCAAUUUAGUCAGCCUGCUUUUUACAUUCCACUUCCUCCCUCUCUUUUGAUUUCAAUAUUGAUAACAAGCCCACUGCUGCGCAUCUUUAUGAUAAUAGUUGCAAAUGAGUACGGGGCUCCCCCCCAACCCCCUCGACUAGGGAGCAUUUCAAGCAGUCAGUGGCAAGUAACUUCUCAGGAUAACUUCUCCCUGAGAUCCUACCCCUCCCCUUUUAAUGGUGGGACUUUUCAUAAUGUGCACAAUACUAUUAAAAUUUCAUAUUAGCACUGUGUAUGGUGAACUUUGUAAUGGGAAAUUCAAUAGCUGCUGUAAAUAUUAAUGGAAUAUGAAAUGAAGCCACAGCCUCGACCAGCCCUGACAGUAAAACGGAGUGAGCAUGUGGCGGCCCCGGGGCGAGAGAGGCCUUUCCUCUUGUCGCUCUCGCUUUAUUACAUUAGCGCUGGCCUCCCCACGCCGGCGUGGGCUCAGAAGCCGAGGCGCAAGGGUCACCCAUGACAAAUGUCCCCGUGUCUCGCCAACAGGCCCCGCCUGGCCCUGCCACUCCAUCUGCUCAACAGGCCCCUGGAGAGUGCUUGCGGGUGUCAGUUUCAGGCAUAGAGCUCUUGAGAGCGCCAGGUUUCCAAAAAGAUUGCAAUGGUUCGGGUGCCUCCUCAAGUCAUCGCUCCCUGGACCCGGGGAGGAGACAACGCCAAGCUCGCGCGUAAACGAACUCCAAGUGGCGUUCUGGGGUUGAAAGAGGUACUCUGAAAAGUCAGGCUCCCACUCUCGUCUAGACCCAUAGCCCACCUUCCUCAAGCCCUACCCCAACCCCAGCCCUAGCCGGCAGAACCCGGCUCAGAAUCCGCCUUAGGCUCGUUUUGCUGACAGCAGCCAUCACCUCCAGGGUCCCGGAGCAGUACUGGGGGUCAUAAACUGACCCACGGGCGGGCGCCGGUUCACUCCGCCCCCAGCCUAAACCGUGCGGGCAGUCUAUUUGCAGCGCUGUGUGAACUAUCAGAGUUUAGGCCUUGGAGCCGCCAGCGCAGCCGUUUCUCAGUCUGGAAUCUUCCAGAAACCACCGGGGAAUGUGCUGCGUAGACUGCGGGAAUCCCAGUAGUUCUUCCAGCCGCGGAGGAGCAGACCUGGCCUUUUGGAAAUCUGGGGUCCCUGCUGGGGAGGACUGUGCGCAGGCAAACGUGGCCAUCAACACCUUGUGCUGCGAGUUAUUUCUACCGGCUGGGAACGAUCCAGAAUUGAGUGGCAGGGGACGGAUCUGCCUGCUCGCAGUAUUUAUUUUGAACCGACAGCACUUAGGAGACCUUAGUUUUUUAGAUAGGACGUUAAUCUCCACUUGUUAGGAGAUCCGGCUGUCACCAUUGAGCCUUCCCUUCUGAAGACCGAUGGUCUCCGAGCUCCACCACCCAACUACUACCUGGACGGUGGGGACACGUAAGGCGAUCUCCGCCAUUGCUUCAGGUGUGGUUUGCUGGUCGGGAACCUUUGGCCAGUCUGAGCCACAGCACGUCUUUGGCACCACUAAAAGCACCCUCCCACCCCCGCCAGAAUCUCGGAAACUUCCCCCCCCCCUUGCCCCUAUAAAAGAGUUACACUUUCGACGAAGACUUAAAAAAAAAAAAAAGACAAGAAAUGGAUAUAGGUUUUGUAACCGUUAAAUAACUUUCUCAGCGUGUAUUAAAGGAAGAUUGUAUUUUAUCAACA